AUGCACGCUGGCGGCGUGCCUAACACAUGCAAGUCGAGCGGCAGCGAGGGGUGCUUGCACCCUGUCGGCGAGCGGCGGACGGCUGAGUAACGCGUGGGAACGUGCCCCAAAGUGAGGAAUAACUGCCCGAAAGGGUAGCUAAUACCGCAUAUUAUCUUCGGAUCAAAGGAUUUAUCCGCUUUGGGAGCGGCUCGCGUCGGAUUAGGUAGUUGGUGAGGUAAUGGCUCACCAAGCCGACGAUCCGUAGCUGGUCUGAGAGGAUGACCAGCCAGACUGGAACUGAGACACGGUCCAGACUCCUACGGGAGGCAGCAGUGAGGAAUCUUCCACAAUGGGCGAAAGCCUGAUGGAGCAACGCCGCGUGCAGGACGAAGGCCUUCGGGUUGUAAACUGCUUUUAUAAGUGAGGAAUAUGACGGUAACUUAUGAAUAAGGAUCGGCUAACUACGUG
rnacentral:rRNA from 1 species